AAAUUCUGUCGGCAACUCUUUGGAGGUUUCUCCAUGUUGCUGUGGAUUGGA
rnacentral:pre_miRNA from 1 species